CUGGGGUUGCCGCUCAGUGGUAGGGCACUCGCCUAGCACGUGUGAGGCACUGGGUUUGAUCCUCAGCACCACAUA
rnacentral:tRNA from 1 species